UACGUAGGGUCCAAGCGUUAUCCGGAAUCACUGGGCGUAAAGCGUCCGUAGGUGGUCUGUUAAGUGAGAUGUGAAAGCGUGUGGCUCAACCAUAUCGUUGUGUUUCAUACUGGCAGACUAGAGGGAAGCAGAGGCAAGUGGAAUUGGCAGUGUAGCAGUGAAAUGCGUAGAGAUUGCCAGGAACACCAAUGGCGAAGGCAGCUUGCUGGGCUUUUUCUGACACUGAGGGACGAAAGCGUGGGGAGCGAACAGG
rnacentral:rRNA from 1 species